UACAGAGGGUGCAAGCGUUGUUCGGAAUUAUUGGGCGUAAAGCGAGUGUAGGCGGUUAUCUCAGUCUGGUGUGAAAGCCCAGGGCUCAACCCUGGAAGUGCACUGGAUACUGGAUAACUAGAGGGCGAUAGAGGAGAUCGGAAUUAAUGGUGUAGGGGUGAAAUCCGUAGAUAUCAUUAGGAACGCCGAAAGCGAAGGCUGAUCUCUGGGUCGUUUCUGACGCUAAGACUCGAAAGCAUGGGUAGCAAACAGG
rnacentral:rRNA from 1 species